rnacentral:snRNA from 1 species
GUGCUCGCUUCGGCAUUACAUAUACUAAAAUUGGAACGAUACAGAGAUUAGCAUUGCUUCUGAGCAAGGAUGACACACAAAUUUGUGAAGCACUCCAUAUUAAA